GAUGAACGCUGGCGGCGUGCCUAAUACAUGCAAGUCGAGCGAACAGAUGAGGAUCUUGCUGCUCUCACGUUAGCGGCGGACGUGUGAGUAACACGUGUAUAACCUACCUAUAAGACGGGGAUAACUUCGGGAAACCGGAGCUAAUACCGGAUAAUAUAUUGAAGCGCAUGGUUGAAUAGUGAAAUACGGUGUUGCUGUCACUUAUAGAUGGAUCCGCGCCGCAUUAGCUAGUUGGUAAGGUAACGGCUUACCAAGGCAACGAUGCGUAGCCGACCUGAGAGGGUGAUCGGCGACACUGGAACUGAGACACGGUCCAGAGUCCUACGGGAGGCAGCAGUAGGGAAUCGUCCGCAAUGGGCGAAAGCCUGACGGAGCAGCGCCGCGUGAGUGAUGACGGUCUUCGGAUCGUAAAACUCUGUUAUUAGGGAAAAACAAAUGUGUAAGUAACUAUGCACGUCUUGACGGUACCUAAUCAGAAAGCCCCGGCUAACUACGUG
rnacentral:rRNA from 1 species